rfam:Papio anubis isolate 1X1155 chromosome 1, whole genome shotgun sequence.
ACCACCUGGGGAUCUGCUAAAAUGCAGAUUCUGAUUCAGUAGGUCUGGAGCUGAUGGAGAUUCUGCAUUUCUAACAAGCUCCCAGGUAUUGCUCA